rnacentral:rRNA from 1 species
GUAGGUGGCAAGCGUUGUCCGGAAUUAUUGGGCGUAAAGCGCGCGCAGGCGGUCCUUUAAGUCUGAUGUGAAAGCCCACGGCUCAACCGUGGAGGGUCAUUGGAAACUGGGGGACUUGAGUACAGAAGAGGAAAGCGGAAUUCCAAGUGUAGCGGUGAAAUGCGUAGAGAUUUGGAGGAACACCAGUGGCGAAGGCGGCUUUCUGGUCUGUAACUGACGCUGAGGCGCGAGAGCGUGGGGAGCAAACAGGGAUUAGAUACCCUGGUAGUCCACGCCGUAAACGAUGAGUGCUAAGUGUUAGGGGGUUUCCGCCCCCUUAGUGCUGCAGCUAACGCAUUAAGCACUCCGCCUGGGGAGUACGGCCGCAAGGCUG